GCUUUGGGGUGAAGGACCGUCGUGGAUAAAAAGAUUGGUAGUCCUUGCAAUCCCAGUAUCAGGAAAGGAGAGUCCAAGGUUGUUGAUACCGUGGACAUCGAAGAUCUUGGCAAUAAAGCUGUCUUCUGCCGUUGCUGGCGCAGUAGCAAGUUCCCAUAUUGUGACGGCACCCACAAUGGACAUAAUGUUGCCUGUGGGGACAAUGUAGGACCCCUCAUCGUUAAGAAGAAGGAUUAAAGGAGCAAAUAGAAGUCUAUAGUGAGCACAUUAGAACCAUCUCCCUGGCACAGUGAGCUAUAAAGACAUAGCAGCCUGUAGUGAUUAUAAUCUAUUACAAUACAGUAUACUAUAAUACCCAC